rnacentral:SRP_RNA from 1 species
GCCGGACGCGGUGGCGCGCCCCUGUAGUCCCAGCUACCCGGGAGGCUGAGGCAGGAGGAUCGCUUGAGUCCAGGAGUGCUGGGCUGUAGUGCGCUAUGCCGAUUGGGUGUCCGCACUAAGUUCGGCAUCAAUAUGGUGACCUCCCGGGAGCGGGGGACCACCAGGUUGCCUAAGGAGGGGUGAACCGGCCCAGGUCGGAAACGGAGCAGGUCAAAACUCCCGUGCUGAUCAGUAGUGGGAUCGCGCCUGUGAAUAGCCACUGCACUCCAGCCUGGGCAACAUAGCGAGACCCCGUCUCA